UGGCGGACGGGUGAGUAACGCGUGAGCAACCUGCCCUUCGGAACGGGAUAGUGUCUGGAAACGGACAGUAAUACCGUAUAACGUAUUUUUACCGCAUGAUAGAAAUACCAAAACUGAGGUGCCGAAGGAUGGGCUCGCGUCUGAUUAGAUAGUUGGUGGGGUAACGGCCUACCAAGUCGACGAUCAGUAGCCGGACUGAGAGGUUGAACGGCCACAUUGGGACUGAGACACGGCCCAGACUCCUACGGGAGGCAGCAGUGGGGAAUAUUGCACAAUGGGGGAAACCCUGAUGCAGCAACGCCGCGUGAAGGAAGACGGUUUUCGGAUUGUAAACUUCUGUUCUUAGUGAAGAAUAAUGACGGUAGCUAAGGAGCAAGCCACGGCUAACUACGUGCCAGCAGCCGCGGUAAUACGUAGGUGGCAAGCGUUGUCCGGAAUUACUGGGUGUAAAGGGAGCGUA
rnacentral:rRNA from 1 species